rnacentral:lncRNA from 1 species
GAGGAUUCCAGAAAACAUUGGUGACAUGAAAACAUUGGAAUCGCUUGACUUAUCUGUGAACAGUCUGAUAGGGGAGAUACCUUCGAGCUUUUCUGCUAUGCAUUUCCUGGAACGUUUGAAUCUGUCUUACAACAACUUAUCAGGAAAAAUACCCACGAGUGGUCAAUUGUCGACCUUUGACCCUUCGACAUAUGUGGGUAAUAAAGGCCUUUGCGGUAUGCCACUGCCAGCUUGCCCUGUUUAUCAAACUCCACCCGAUGCCAGAGUUAAAGAUGAUGAGAAGCUCGACAAAUUAUUGGAGUACACCAGUAUUGUGGUUGGAUUUGUGGUUGGCUUCUGGCUGUUUAUUGGCACUCUCAUCAUGAAGCAGGCCAUCAGAUUCGCUUUCUUCCGACGGAUCGACAAGACCAUUGACUGGAUCUAUGUUCAGUUUGCAGUUAAGCUUGCGAAGCUCAAAUCCAAAUGGCAAACAACGACAUGAACUGCCGGUAAGUGCUAAAGUGUGUCAUGUUUUCCUUUGUAGUUAGUCGCAUCGAAAUCUUGCGUUAGCAUGUAAUGAUGUUAUCAUAUUAUGCUGUCAUGAUUAAGCUGAAAUAAGCAUCAUGGAUUCCCUGUAUACAUUACAUGCAUUAGUUCUAGUAUCAUAACAUCUCCAUCUAUCAUCACUUUGCUAUCGCAAGGCCUUCGCUUAUGGAUUGAUACAUACAUAUCUGACAACUAAAAAGAUUAAUUGCAAGAGUGUAUGUCAUACAUACUCUGUUUGCUAACGAAAUAGUUAAUCUACCUAUAUUUAAUCGAUGUUUGAGAGGGAAGAUUGUGUUCUUCUGUUAGUGUCCUUACGAUAGAAAAAAAAAUUCAACUUUGUUAUUAUGCUCAAAUUAGAUAAAGAUAAUGACAAUCACAGUAUGGAGAGACAAUUAGACAAUAAAAUUGUAACCAUUAUUGUGGACAUGCUCUUAGCGUUUGGCUGAAAUCAAUGUCUUAUUCGAGUGGCGAAUCUUUUUUUUCUGAGAAGAGACUGUAUAAUUUGAUUCUUCUCCACAUUCAUAUGGUAUGAGACUCACUCUUCAUUUUCUACCAAAGUACAUAUUUUUUUUCUGCAAAAAUAAAAUCCACGUCCAACGAAUUAUUUUUUUCUAAAAGUGAAUUAUUAUUAAUAAAUAAGUUUUAUAAAUUCAUAGCAAUCCCACUCUAGACUGCUUAUUCCUAUCAUUUGGGUGCUAAAUCUUGAGACCUUUUGAAUAUAUAAUUGUCUUAAGAGAGAUAUUUUAUGUUUCUUGAUUGAGUUUUUUUCGUUAAUCAACAUUUUAUGUUAUAUGCGUUUGUUUCAAUAUUCAUAACAUGAGAGCAUAUAUAUAUAUUUUUUGUUCCUUUUUCCUGGAAAUCAUAUUUUGCAGGACUGGCAGAACUUUGAUUUAGGUGUUACCAGAAUGCUUUAUAUAACUUCCCGAUUUGCUGCUAUUUUGGGGUUUAUAAUAAAAAGCAGAUUGCCACCAGUUCAGCUGAUGCAGGAGUCAAACUAGAAGAAGAUGACAAUGGAGAUAUGCUUGAAACAAUAAUAUUAGAUGUUACUAGCGUUGUCGUGGGAUUAAUAGUUGUUUCUGGGGUUUCUAUCGGCGUAGUGAUCGUGAAGCAAGGCUCAAGGAUUACUCUCUUCCAACAAAAUGACAACAUCUAUGGCUGCAUGCAGAUAUGUGCAGCUGAAAGCUGAAGCCCAAAAUAAUGACGAAGAAUCAAUUGAACUGUGGCUAAGUGCUAAGACUGUCUAUGUAGACUUCAUGUAUUUAUGUUCUAGUGUUUUAUUUCAUGAAUGACCAUUUGGUGUUGUCCAGAAAUAAGGUUGUUGUUUAAAUAUAACAUCUGAGACAUGGCAUCAGGAUUGCUCUGUUCCAGUUGAUCGGCAGGACUUGUGAUUGGAUCUAUGUGCAGGUGGCAGUAAAGCUUAAGGAACCGAAGUGCAAAUGGCGAAGAAUGACUUGAAGAAUCACCAAGCAUCUCAAGCUCAUGUCAUCCUCUUCAUGUUAUGAUGUAUUUAUGUUUCUUGUAAUUGUUGUAGUCUCUUUAGAGUCUUAAAUCUAUUGGCAACUUGCUGCUGCUUUUUAGUGUAGUGAAACUUAAUUUACUGCAUCACUUAUUGCUUCUUUUCCAGAAACAAACCAAUGGUCCACAGGAGGGCAAAUGAGUUGUCAUAACAUACGCAACAUAUUACUAUGAAUUGAGAAUUGCUCCAGUGGAAGCAUCAUAACUCCAUCCUACAUAUACAUGAAAUUGAUUUCAGUGAGUGCUUCAGGGGAUUCCAGCUGAGAACAAAGUGUGAUUAUGUUCAAUAUAUCUCAAUCAGGGGAAGACUUGCUCAUGCUUUCAUAAUGGAUUUAACCAUUCAAAGUGUUUUCUAUGGCCUUGGAAGUUGCUGUUCUGUUGUCAGAUCUCUUCAAUCUCUCAAACUCUCAACUAUUCAAAUCAUGCCUUAGUUUGAUGAACCAAAUGGAUUAAUCAAAAGAAUGAUUCUGGAUUAAUCAAAAGAAUUAAUCAAACCAAGCUUUCUCUUUAUAUGCUACUUCAAUCUCUCUGUGACCAAGCUUUCUCAGUGGAGAAAUUCCAAUAAUUUGGUUCAUUUAGAUAUAUCAAGUAACUUUAUUACCGGACAAUUACCACCACCGGGGAACCUCAUCAACUUAGAAUACUUAGAUUUAUCAUCCAACAAUAUCGUCGGAAGUAUUCCACAUACUUUGGGUUCUCUCAUCCAUCUCAAUAUAUUAAUCUUACUUCAAAAUGAUAUUUCUUGACGUAUACUAGAAACCAUUACAUUUCAAGAUCUUAAGUUAUACAACUUAGACGAAUACAAGAGACAAUUGGUAGACUCUAUCACUCGAAAAUUUUGAACAUAUCAUACAAUAACUUAUAGAUACCAAUGAUAUUAGGUAAUUUGACCAUGCGACUCUUUCUUUAAAUUAUUCUUAAUUUUUUAGGAAUUCUUUUUUACCCGAAACAUGGUUAUUUUUUUCAAAAUAAAUUUGUGUCCAACCAAGGAAACUUGUCCAAAACAUUUGAUGAGAGUAUAAACUUCUUAUGCCUAUCAAUCGGGUGCUAAAAGAUUGAAAAUUGGAUAACCAUCUCAAGAAAUAUUUUCUUUGGUAAUCAGAAUUCCUGCUUGAGUGGUUUUGGUCAACCAACGUUAAUUGCUUCAACAUAUUUACUGACCACAGCAAAAAAUGAUUAUGUGGAAUAUUUUUCCUUGACUGCCACAAAAUAAGUUUGGGAACGGACUCAAAAUUGGGUCGGAUUCGGGCUCGAAUCGAAUCGACUCGGGAUGUUGACCGAAGUCAACUUCUCACCGGCCCCACCUGCGUUCCUCGCCGCAGCCGUUCCCAUCGCCUGCGUUCACACAGUGCACCGCCGCACGCGGGGGCGUUUCACGCUCGCAGUCCUCCCCGCGGCCGCAGCCCGCUGUCUUCAUCGACGCCUCCCCGUGUGCCCGCACCGGCCCCCCCCAGCCACAGUCGCCGAAGUCGUCCAACGCAGCCGCAGUCGCACCUCUCCGCUCGCAGGCGGCGAGCCCUCCACCUUCCCUUGCUCCUAUAAAUAGAGCUUUGGGGAACAACAGCGAGGGAAGCGAAGGAGAGAACAACGAGAGAGAGGAAGAGAGGAGAAGUGAGUAAGGAGCCCAAAUCCGACCAAUGUUCUUCUCCGGCGAGAAGUCCAGUCGCCGAUCUCCGUCGCCGGCCAGUCACUGUGCUCAUUGCAGCACCAUUGAGGAAGAGAGGAGAAGAGGAAGAAGAGGAAUUUGACUGGUCAACCCUGGUCAACAUUGAUGAACAGAGGUAAUUUUGUAAUUUUGGUUUAUAUGGUAAAUUUUAGAUUUUUUUAUAAAGAAAGUGAAUGUUGCAACACUCCUAUUAAUCCUUUCAAUAUAUGGUAUUUGAGCCUUUUUACUAGAUUAUCAAGUUACCGGGCUUCAUCGAUAGACAUAAGAAACAAGAUCAAAAAAGUGGAUCGAAACAUCAACUACUCUCUAUAAACGAUAAAGAUGAAGACUAUCUGAAUAAAGGAGAAACAUCAUUACACUAUCUUCGGGAAAGAAAAAAUAACAAACAUGAAUGAGAAAAAGUAGAAUUUGAUCAAAGUGUUAUGACAAUUUUAUUUAUGUGCAUAUCCAAUGAAGCACUUUACGAUAUUGCCAUAAAACAAACAACAGUAAAAGUUUGAGACACAAAGCAUAUUAGUAGAAGACCCUUACAAGAAAAAUGACCCUCAAGUAUAUGUUGUACCGAAUGACAAAAGGAACCUUAGUGAAUCAAUACAUUAGUGUCUUUCAAACUAAAAUUCAUGGAUCUUGAGAAUAUGAAUGUUGUCAUCGACGAAGAAGACAAAGCCAUGUUAUUAUUAUUUUUAUAUAAAAACUUUUUGAAAAUAAUUUUAUAUUGAAAGAAUACCAUUUCUCUAGAUAUUAUGAUUUUAACCCUAGUGUCAAAAGAAUACCAUCUCUUUUAUAGACUUCUAGUUGACAAUGGAAACCUCCAAAAGUCAUGCUGAAGCUUUAAACUUCAUGGAGAGAUGUAGAGUUUAGGAAAGGAGACAGAAAUAAAUCUAUAGCCAAAUCUAGAUCAAAGUAAGUAUUAUUGCAAAAGGAAGGGCCACAUCAAAGCAGACUGUUGAGCUUAAAAUAAAAUGCAACAAUCAAAAUGCUAAAGCCUCAUGCAUAAACAAAGAGAUUGAGAUUGAGGUACUUAUGGCCUCCAUAUGCCACCAGGCCACAGGAUGGGUGGCUUUUGGACUCCAUAUGUUCCUUUCAUAUGAUACAACAUGGAUGUUAGUUCUCCACUUAUGAACUCACCCAAGAAGAAAAAGAUGCGCUUAUGGGAAGAACUCAUCGUGUUAGAUCAUCCAAACAGGACAAGUUAAAAUCAAGACACGACAUGAUUAUAAGAUCCUUGGUAAAGGUAUAGCACAUUCGUGAGUUAAAGAGAAACUUAACUUUAUUAUCCACUUUGGAUGCCUUAGGCUAUGACUAGUCUGACCAAUGAGCCCAAAUCGAACAAAAGUUCUUCGACAAAACAUUUUUUCAUCGAUCUUUGUCGUCGGUCCAUCGCUUAAUCUCAUUGCAACAGUUGUAAAGUAGAGAAAGUUGAUCGGUGAACUUUGGUUAUUGUUCUAACUCUCACAUCUUUAUCGUGAGUUGAUUAUUAUUUAACAGUUAAAUUGUUCACACCUAAAUCCCCAACACCCAAAUCUCUCGUAUUAAUCAAUCAACUCUCGAUAGCAUCAGAUUUAUGUCUCCUUCACAUAGGUUUGCAUCCGACUUGAGUCUCAGGCAGCCUCCCUAUUUGGUUUUCAAAUUUCUCAAAAGGUUUGAAAAUUAUUAACUUGAGCUCCAACUAUUUGAUUGGUCAAUUACCUUCUGCUCCCCAAUUCAUAUUGAAUCUAUCCAACAACUUAUUUGUUGGACCUAUUCCAUUGAGCUUGAAAAAAGCUACGAGACUCAUUUUGUUAUUUUUGUCUCAUAAUCAUAUCAACGGUGAUUUUCCUUUCUUCUUUUGUCAUAUGGAUUCACUUGGAGUUCUAGACCUAUCUAACAAUCACUUAAUUGGAGAAGUCCCCGAUUGUCAUAAUUCAUUUCCGAUCUCUCUACGAUCUUUACAUUUAAAUAAUAACAAUUUAUCUAGAAGGAUUCCUUCAUUUUUGAAAUACUGUGACCAAUUAAUUAUCCUUGAUUUAGGUGAAAAUAAAUUAUUUGAUAAAAUUCCGAAAUGGAUAGGAAGAAACCAUGAAGGUUCUUCGUCUGAGGUCAAACUUAUUAUAUGGUACUAUCCCUGAGAACAUAGUGGAUCUCACUUCUCUUCAGGUUUUGGAUCUUUCUUCCAACAAGUUCUUUGGUAGCCUACCAUCAUCUCUAGGAAAUUUCACUGCCAUGGUUGAGGUACAAAAUGACACGAGGUCAUUGAUUGAAGAUUACUAUUCUUACAUCGAGAGCAUCUUAGUCACAACAAAGGGAUCAAUGGUUGAGUACACAACCAUUCUCUGGCUGGUGACAUGCAUAGACUUGUCAAAUAAUCAUCUCUCUGGUGAAAUCCCAAAAGAACUGACAAAGCUUCUCGGAUUGCGCUUCCUAAACUUAUCCGAGAAUCAUUUGACGGGAAGGAUUCCAGAAAAGAUGGGUGACAUGACACUAUUGGAAUCGCUUGACUUAUCAGUGAACAGUCUCACAGGGGUGAUACCUUCGAGCUUUUCUGCUAUGAAUUUCCUGGCCCGUUUGAAUCUGUCUUACAACAACUUAUCAGGAAAAAUACCCACUAGUGGUCAACUGUCAACCUUUGACUCAUGGACAAAUGUGGGUAACAAAGACCUUUGCGGUACGCCACUGCCAGAUUGCCCUGUUUAUCGAAUUCCACCUGACGCC